rnacentral:lncRNA from 1 species
CAAAGGUGCUGCACACAGGGCCAUGCCCAACCAGCAGGCUCUCAGAGGACUCUUGAGGUGGAAAUGAAAACAGGGUCCCACUCUGUGGCCUAAGCUGGAGUGCAGUGGCAGUAUCAGGGCCCGCUACAUCCUUGACCUCCUGGGCUCAAACAAUCUCUCAUCUCAGCCUCCCAAGUAGCUGGCACUAUAGGAAUGAGGCCAACGGCAAGAUCUGGAGAUGGAAGAAGCUCCUGAAGAUGUUGAAACCCCUGGUCCCAGCUGUUCUGUGGGCCAGCUGGAUUCCUGCCCUUCUAUAGCUGUAUUGCUCAAUCCUUUCCUGGGAUCUGGGAGAAAAUAAAUUUCAUUUUUGGCCCAAGUUAGUUCAAGUUCAGAUUCUUUUCCCCCAUAACAGUAACAAAGAGUCCUAACUGAUUCAACAUUAAAC